UCUAGAGGCUUCGUCAAUGCCCGAAAGGGUGAACGAGCGACGCCGCGUGCGGGAUGAAGGCCUUCGGGUUGUAAACCGCUUUUAUUAGGGACGAACGCACUGAUCGUGAAUUGGUGCUUGACGGUACUUGAUGAAUAAGCCUCGGCUAACUCCGUGCCAGCAGCCGCGGUAAUACGGAGGAGGCGAGCGUUGUUCGGAAUCAUUGGGCGUAAAGGGCUCGUAGGCGGACCUGUGUGUCUUGCGUGAAAUCUCCACCGCUUACCGGGGAGGGUGCGUAGGAAACUGCAGGUCUUGAGUAUGAUAGAGGGUCGCGGAAUUCCGGGUGUAGCGGUGGAAUGCGUAGAUAUCCGGAGGAACACCGGUGGCGAAGGCGGCGGCCUGGAUCAAUACUGACGCUGAGGAGCGAAAGCUAGGGUAGCAAACGGG
rnacentral:rRNA from 1 species